rnacentral:lncRNA from 1 species
UCAAUUCAAUUAAAAUUCAUUUCCAAAAUCUUCAAUAUCAACAGCCUUUGUCUCGAACAAAGAAAAGAGUAGGUCAAACUAAUCUUAUCAUCUUGAUAUCCAAUUUUUUUUUCUUUUACAGGCAUUUGUGUGCAUUUUCUUUUGAAGUUCUUUUUUUUUUUUUUUUUUUUUUUUUUUUUUUUUUUUUUUUUUUUUUUUUUUUUUUUUUUUUUUUUUUUUUUUUUUUUUUUUUUUUUUUUUUUUUUUUUUUUUUUUUUUUUUUUUUUUUUUUUUUUUUUUUUUUUUUUUUUUUUUUUU